CCAGCAACAAAGGAAAUAGAUUCACAUUCUCAAGCGAGGACUCCAGUCACCAUAUUGAAUUUGUCUGUCAAUUGCGAAUUAUCUAGCUUCAGUAACACUUGGUCAACAAAAAACGAACAAUCGUGGCUCCUUAAUUUAUUUUUAAGAAAAGCAUCAUAGAUGUCCCUGUUAAAAAUGCACUUCCGAUUCAAUCUUAUUCACUUUCAAGGUGACUGUGGCAAUGCACGAUGCAAAUAAGAUGUUCACGAAAAGCGUGUCGGGACAUAAGUUGGCAGCCAAACAUUUGGGUAUAAGGCUAAAUUUAGUGUCCCAUUUUUUGUGGGGGGUGUUCGAAAAAGCUCAAGGAUAUGCCACCCUUUCCAAUUUGCGCUUUCCUCCACAUUAUUCCAACGGAACUGGAAAGUAUCAAUUAGAUCCCACUUCCUCUUAAAGUGACAGUAAUGAAUAAUUGCCUCGUUUUGCUUUCACAUCCGGAGGAGAAGCUUGAGGCCAGGGGACGAAGAUAUACACACACACUUUGGCACACAUUUUUCACAGGUGUAAUUUUUUUUUCUUUUUUGUUCCCAUGAACAUGAAUUCUCCCAAUUGCCACUGGCGACACAGAGACUCUGCUUAUUACCUUCCACGUAUGACAGUGAGAUGAUUUUUCUCUGCACUGGUUUGAAACUUGAUAUUUACACAUGAGCCUGAUGUUGUUGAUUAAUUACCGUAUUUUCCGAACGAUAUGGCGCUUCGGAGUAGAAGGCUCACCUUCAAUGAAUGGCCUAUUUUCAAACUAUUUUCAUUUAUAGGGCGCACCGCAUGAUAAGACGCAUAGAAUAGAAGCUACAAUAGCGCUUGCGGUUGUGCUAUGCAUCCACUAGAUGGUGCUACGCUAUAGGGAAUACAAUACAAUACAGCUUUAUUUACAUAGAGCUUUUACAACUGCUGCCGCUGGAACAAAGCGCUUGACAGAAUAUUUAAAAUACGACGUCCAAGAAUGCAUCGCAGCGGAUGAUCAGGCGCACUGAGAAAAUGGAAUGUUUUUAGGUGUGCCUUAUAGUGCGGAUAAUAUGAUUAAUCAAGACAUAGCCACUGCUGAAACCACUGGCAAACCACUGGCGAAGUGAAGAGAAGCAGUGAUUUUUCCAUCGACCCUUCGUUUUCACAAUUGAUGAGAAUUCUUGAAAAAAAAAUGUUUUUUUCAUUUGGUAAGACAGUCGAGAUUCUUUUUUUGUGUGAGUUCCAUUCGUGUCCGUCUGAGAGUAUCACCGGGGAGUCGCCUGACCUGGCAACGCCGUGUUUUCAGCCACGGGCCUCCUGAUGCUCACGCUCAAACGCAUCUCAUCACCCAACGCAAGCCGGCACGAUGCGAUGGUGAGUCAGUUCGGCAUGAUAGUCAACACUGUGAGCUAACCUGGCAGCCCACGCUGUGCACUUCUCGUCAUGGUUGACCAGGUAAUGGAACAUACAGUUGCGGGCCUCUCAUUGAAAACACAGAUAAAUAUUGUGAUGAGAUCAAUUGAAACUGAAACUCGUUAGACAUUAGAUAGGUGAAAGUUGCAUCUUUGUCGAUACCGAAAAAAAAUAUCUCGGUGUAGUCCCUUUUGCAUUGACGCAAUGAGGCGGAAAGGACGCCGGAACGAAAUUGUGCUGCAGGCGUCUAAUUUUACACACGCUAAAGGAAACGGAGAGCUUCAAGAAAAUCAAUGUGCGUUAAUGUGACCCGCCAUGACCGUCAAAGAAACAAGGCCGUUUGUCUCCUGACUGGACCCGCGACACGCAAAUGAUGAAUCCCGUAUUUUCCGGGAUCAUAAAUCAGUUUUUUUCCCCCAUAGUUUGGCCAGCGGUGCGUUUUGUAUAAUCUGGAGGGAUUUAUGUGGGAAAUGAUCAACACAUUAUAAAAUCAUUUCACAUAUUAUAUUCACAUGAGGGGCGGCCCGGUAGUCCAGUGAAUAGCACGUCGGCUUCACAGUGCAGAGGUACCGGGUUCGAUUCCAGCUCCGGCCUCCCUGUGUGGAGUUUGCAUGUUCUCCCCGGGCCUGCGUGGGUUUUCUCCGGGUGCUCCGGUUUCCUCCCACAUUCCAAAAACAUGCAUGGCAGGCUGAUUGAACACUCUAAAUUGUCCCUAGGUGUGAGUGUGAGUGCGAAUGGUUGUUCCUUUCUGUGUGCCCUGUGAUUGGCUGGCAACCAAUUCAGGGUGUCCCCCGCCUGCUGCCCGAAGACAGCUGGGAUAGGCUCCAGCACCCCCCGCGACCCUAGUGAGGAUCAAGCGGCUCGGAAGAUGAAUGAAUGAAUGAAUAUUCACAUGAAACCGCAAGGUGGCACUCUAAGCCUAAGCGUAAGCAACGUAGAAGAGGAAGUGCUGCGUAUUCUAACUAUGGAGUUGGCCCAGUGGUUUCAAAGUGACACAGAGGAUGAAGAUUUCAUUGGAUUUAGUGAUUUGGACAUGUUAGUUUAUUCAUUAUGCUCUGGUUAUCUGAAUAACUCCUAAUAUACUAUAUGAACAUACCAGGCACAUUCUCAGUUCGUUGUUUAUGCGUCAUGUAACGUUGGCAUAUCGUACACUUAUCAGACCGUUAUUCUCUGUUGUAUUUUUAUUUAAGAUUGCCUUUCAAGAUGACGCGUCUUAUCUUGGUGUUUAAUGUUAUCAAAUAAAUGCCCCCACUCCCCCGACAAAAUACGAUUUAUACUCCGGAGCGAGUUAUAAUCCGCAAAAUACGGUAAAUACAUCCACAGCUACUGAAAAGAAAGACUUCUCAUCUUCACAUUCAUUACUUGUUUUUUUUUUUGGAGGGUAGCUUCAACAUCAAUGCUGUUCUGCGGCCGAGAAUCGUAUUUCAAAUUGCAGGUUUUGGAUUGAAAAACAAAAAACAUUCAGCAAUUAGCUUCACAUGCUCCGUGGGUUCAAUUUCAAACAAUUUGCCAUUUUCCAAAUGCUAAGAUCUUUUCCAUGCUCCCUGUGAAUGUUUUUAUUUUGUAUUUGUGCGCUGAAACUGCCUUUGCCUUUCAAAAAACAAAACAAAACAUUGACUGAAUAUAGAUAACCUAUGUCAGAACACGGUGGCUGUCCAACUUCCUGCCUCGCCUCUGUGGGCUGCGCACUCUGUGAGCUCUUCCCUCCGGUCCGGAUCCACACAGUGAUGAGACACUGAUGAAUCACCGGGCCCGAAGGCGCUCUCACAUGAAUGGCCACCAAUUUCCCGAUUUGGCUUAAUCCGUAGAACCCGACAGAACAGAGGUGGGGGGGAUUGCAACGAAUGCCAGACACGUGUUUCCUGGGAUGGUUUCUGCACCCUGUUAACGUUGCUCGAUCGGGUCAAGGCGAGUGUUAGCAUCCCGGAGAUUCCGUCUUUAGGUGUUGAUCGCGGCCAUCGAAAAGCCCGUUCACUGCCGUCUAAAUAUGGAAACAAACUCAGUCCUAAUUAUCGGAAGCCUAAUUGCCGGCGGUUUAGCAGAAUUGCUUUGAUGUCACGUUUGACGUCAGAUCCCCUUUUCUGCUAUCGGAUGCUCAAGUGAGGUCGCGUUUGGAUAUUUUUAAGCGGUAACAAUCUGGAACUGGUAAUUGCACGAGUAUCCGUGCGGCAUUUGUUUUCAUCGUGUCUAUAAUAAGCAGGAUAUUUCCACUGUUGGUAUUACGCACCCUGAACUGGUUGGGUAAUCCUAAUUUGGCGUGUGGUCGUCAAGUGGAAAAACAAUAAGAUGUGCAAAUAGAACUGGCAAAUUUUCCUCGAGCAUAGCAUAGGCGUAAUAUGCCCUAGCGCGCCGUUAAAACACUUUUAAUGCUCCUCUGCGCACGACGAAUUAUUUCUCCGGGCUGAACGAGGAGAUCUCGUCGAUAAUGUACGUUUUGAUUGUAUCGUACACAAGUUAGCUUGGAAUGAAACGGCCACAGCGCAGAAGCGCUAUUCGUUCGUAGUCUAGAGGCGCACCGCUAAACCUGAAGGCCGUCCCCAAGAACCCGGCAAAAAGUUACUUACGUGCACCAAUAAUGUAACCUGUAGUAACCGCUGUACCUGAAAGGGAUCAUAAAUUUAAGAAACAACACACCGGAGGGCUUUAAGGUUGUAAAACUGACAAUGCGGUCAUUGAAAUAGAUCAAGACGUGUAGGAUGGCGUGGUACCUAUGCAAUGGAUAUGCGUAGGAGAACCCGCCGUCAGCGGCCUUUGCUGACUCAGUGAGUCAUUAUUGAAGCGGAGACGUAAGUCAAGCUGUUGUAUGGUUACGUAACGACUCUCGAGUAGCUAAAGCAGCGGGCACUCCUUGGGUCGAACGAUAUUUUUGUCGGAGCCUCCCGUUCGACUGGUAAGCGCGAGGCAAGGCGAGGCAGCUUUGUUUUCACUCGGUGUGCUUCGCACUCGCGAAAGCGACACCUCGAAGCUUAUGGGCGCAACGGGGGGGCGGGCGACGUUGAGAAGCAAAGCGGAGCGAACGAAAGCGGCUUACCGGAAAUGACUCAAAAGAAAUUGCAGUCGUGAGUCCUGAAAUGUUACGAAUGGUGUGCUACAAGCGACGUUUCCUCCGAGUGCUUUUGCCAGUCAAGCGAGAGCGAGAAAAGCCGCGGCAAAGUAUUUGAACACGGGGGAGGGGGGGGGAUCAAUGGAGGGCUUCGAGUUUUAUCAGCUUUGGCGGCAUGAAAGGCGGAGAACCUGCGCCACAAUGAAUCGAUGCCUCUCAAUGAGUUAAACCCCUUGUCAUCUUCACACGAGUGGAAUCGAGUGGGAGUGGCCACAAACUCCACCGUCGCUACCUUUCGGAUUAUACACCGUCAAUCGCCCGCGUGAGCUUUACGCGUUCCUUUUGAAGUCAGCAAAUCCUUAAGCUGUGCUGUUCGAAAACCUUUCACAUUAAAACAAACACCAAAAAAACGUGAUGCCCGCGCUGACAGACAAUCGAGGCAGUCGACGGGAUAUUGUGUCGCGGUCCGUUGCUUUGAUGUUCGGCGGUCGUCGAGUAUUUUGCUUCCGUGAUUUAGCCGUCCCGAGUCCUUGAAUCCGUUUUAUUUUUGGACUGACAGAAGCAAAUGAGUAUCAUGUUCAUCUUCAAGUGUUGCCGACGGCUUUGUUCAAUUUCACACACUUGAAGAGCCAGACCAGGUUGUCAUUCUCACUUAAUCCAUACACCCCCAAAGGGUGCGUGGGUGGAUUUGGUCCGCGGCGUCUACGGAGUUCAACAGCAAAAACCGUUCCACUCUCCCUGCUAACCAAAUGGCUUCAAAGUGGAGUUAACUCAGACGGCCAAAGCGCCGCUCCUUAAGGUUGAGUUAUACCGUAAUAUUUGGGACGGAUCGAAAAACCGUCGUUCAAUGAUGCGGUAAUAACGUUCGGGAUCGAAAUCUGUCCACACUCGCGUUCACACUUACGAGAAAUUGAACUAACACACAUUUAUUCCGCUAACUUGUUUCCGCGACCUAGUUCAGGUGGAGCAGUACUCAUGCAACAAUGACGAACUAGAAUUCGAUACUGGUCCGGAUUUUAUUGACACCCUAAUUGACCUUGACCGUUCCAUUUGCCGGUGUGUAAAUCCCUUAUCCUCCAAACCAGUUCCAUGCCGAAUCUCAACCGGUUUCACUCAAGUAGCGAGCGCAGAUCCUCCAUCAUCAAACGGAGAUUUGUUUACCCGGGCCGGCCUUUUGCUAUUUACAUUUGCCGUCUUUGUCGCCGCGGAGACGGGCCAUCGGUUCACGAACGGGAGAGUUAUCACAUGCUGAUAUCCCGCGUGGAUAGAUGCAGUAAUAGGGACAUUAAACAUCUCCCACUGCACAGAGGUGACCUUCUUGUCGCAAAUAUGAGCUAUGUGUUUUCGGGAGCCGGCCAAGAUAUACCGGAGAUGAAAAUGUCCUUAUAUGCGCGUGAGUAAAAGCCAUCCAAUGAACAGGUUUAUCAAUUUAUUUUCUACACUGUAUGUCCCCAUAAGUCAUAUUUCCAAAAUGUCAAAUCAAUCUGCGAUGUGUUUGCAUUACAAAAUUCAUUUGUGGAAUUAGUGAACACUAAGGACGUCCGUUUUCAUCCAACGUGAUCCACAAUCACAUUAUGUUAGACUUUUGAUUUCAUUAGCUCACAAACCAGUUGGGCGGGGGUGUGGGGGCGAGCCUAGUUUCCAACAGCGCUGUAGGAUUAUAUCAGUACGGGUAGCAAAUGCGGUCAGAGGGAUAUACCGUAUGUGGGGUCCAGUUUUUGGAGGACACCUGACAUGCUCAGCCGCUUCCUUUUGGGGGGGCGGGCUGUUGCGUAGCUCGCCGAUCGACAGGACAGUGAGCCAAGUGGAAACACGCGUUGACCUCAUACUGUCACUGUUUCCCGUUGCCGUCUGACUAGUCACGAGCUGUCAUGUGCCAGGGCUUGAGAAGCGCAACUUCUCUUUGCUGCAAUCCUCAGCGGACUCAGCUGUCUGUCUUCUCUCCCCUCCACCCCCCAAUUGUGGUUCCUUUCAUUUUAACACUGUAAUGGACAGUGGUUACUCCAGUGGACAGCUUAUCGGGCUAUCAGGAUACAGGUUAACAUUAUUUGUUCAUGAACGGCUUCAAAACUGUUUCAUCGGUCACGCAGACUAGGCUAGUUUUUCACUAUGCCAUAACUGAUUCCGAAACGAAACCAUCCGACCGAAUCCCGCUUUCUCACAUGUAGACCAAAGCCGAGUUAGAGAAGCGGGAAAGACUUACGCAGUGAGUGCCACUCAUCCUGCCUUAUUGUCUUGGUGAUGUUGUAGGAGAGGUUUUUGGGUAUUGUGCCCGAGGAAUAGUGGUACUUGAUGUAGGAGCAUCUUGUGAUGGAACCUGCAGAGGGAAAACCAAAACCAAAACACUGAGUUGAAAAUACAGGCCAUUGGUAGUGAUUCACAUCCAUUCGCAGCAUUGAAAAAGCCGGAAGAACGGACUGGGCGAUUCAGAUACUGCCGCCUGACUGACUCACGGGUUGCGUGGGCGCCGGAGACGCCACGCAGCAGGGGCAGUAUUGAGCUAGCUCGAAUACAAAAGGUGAUUCAGAGCGUACGUCUGAGCUUAUUGAUGAGAGAAGUAGACAAAAGCACAUUACCGAAAACAACUCCCGACUGGCGUCUAAGGCCCCGUUGUCAGUGCGGACGAUUUACUCGUUGGGUUUGUGGGGGUUCUCGGUUUGGGAUUUUCAUCCAUUUUCAGAUGGACUGCAGCCACUUCUGCCAAAGUCAGCUUUGAGCUCGGACGCCGUUGACUUUUCACAGAGAGUAAAUGUUGAUUGCCAGAUUCUCAUUUAAUGGCUGGUGCUUUUCUUUGGACAUCAUUACAGUGUGUCCACUCUAAUUAUCUCCGGGGAAGCUGGCAGGCUUAGUGAACACUAUAUUAUGCGAGUCCAGGGAGAUUUGAACUGCACAAACAGAGAUCAUGAGGAUAUCAGUCGCCCCGUGCGCCCACAUCCAACGCCCCCCUACCCCCAUCCUGUUUCUCCCGCAGCCAUGCACACACGAGAAGAUCGCACCGUCUGAUAACGAUAAUUAGCCUUUCGAGGCUGUCACUGCGACAGUCAAGCACACAUUGGCUCUUUGAGAGAUUAGGGUUAUGAUAAUGUUUUAUUUUUAUUUUUUUAAUGUGAGUCUAAAACUGGUACGGCAAUAUAUAUGUCUUUACGUGAAACCGGUCCAGGCGGCACGGUGGAUGACCGGUUAGCACGUCGGCCUCACAGUGCAGAGGUGCCAGGUUCGAUUCCGGCUCCGGCCUUCCCGUGUGGGGUUUGCAUAUUCUCGCCGUCCCUGCGUGGGUUUUCUCCGGGUACUCCGAUGUCCUAGCGCAUUCCAAAAACAUCGCCCCGAGGUACGAUUGGUUGUUUGGCUGGCAAUCAAUUCAGGGUGUACCUCACCUACUGCCCGAAGACAGCUGAGAUUGACCCCAGCACACCCACGACCCUUGUGGCCGUCCCUGCGUGGGUUUUCUCCGGGUACUCAGAUGUCCUAGCGCAUUCCAAAAACAUUGUCCCGAGGUACGAUUGGUUGUUUGGCUGGCAAUCAAUUCAGGGUGUACCUCACCUACUGCCCGAAGACAGCUGAGAUUGACCCCAGCACACCCGCGACCCUUGUGGAUAGAUGAUUGGAUAUAACCGGUCAAUGGCACAAAAAAAAAAGUUUGGGUAUCACUUUCGUCAUCGAUCCAUAACUUGGACUUGAUUUUUAUCACGAUAGUCCGACGACAAGAAGUCUUGAAUCCUUCCAAGUCUACCUACCACUUUAAAAUCCCGAUACAUGAUCCGGUAAGGUCUUCCGCCGCACAAUUGAUUUUUAUCAGUCAUGUUCAUACAUGACCUAACACACGAACUGAACGCUUGUCUCCGAGCUGACACCCGAGCAUCGUCCGCUACCUGAGAACUUUCUGUCUUGUGUGCGUGGCGUUUGAAGUCAAAUCUCUUCCCUUACGCCGUGUGAUCCAGGCGGCUUUGGACCACGCGCUGAUGUCACGGUGCGAAAGAAAAAAAAAAUAGACGGAUGAUCCAAGGAAAUCGGACGACUAUAGAGUCAGGGAGCUCAAAUGGAUUUUUUUUUUGCCCCUGACGCUCGAGGAAAGCACAAAGUGCAGGAGGGAUUUGAAAUGGGCCAAUAAAUCCCGGCAACUGUUCGCAGCUCUCCAAAAACCAAUAAACCCUUUUUUUUGCGCAAUGUCGGAAAACUGCGAUAGAUUUUCACAGAAAUGGACACGGAACUCUCCUCAAAUUUUACAGUCGCACCAAUAUUUGGGAUUUUCCAAACGGCCUCUCAAUAGGUGCCGAACAAGCUUCAAAGAGGAAACCGUUUAGCGGUUGUGAAAUUCAAACUAUCGGGGCAAUCGUGAACGAGAAUUUCGGAGGUCGAAGUGGGCAUGAGUAUAAAUCUUGAACGAUUGUUCGCAGAGCCUUUGACUCUCCCGUGUUUUCGUCUUCCCCAUCGAGAUACCGAUUUUUGGCACUCAGGUAAUUUGACAGUCAGGGGCUUUCGUGACAUGCUUCCUUGUUUUCAUAUCUUGAAAAAUUCACAAGUUGAGGUAGCGCCUGGAUAACCUUGAGCAAUGACCCCCGUGGUGCUGCGUAAACCUUGUUAUAAAAACGGCCGAUGUGAUAUGGAUGUUAAUUCCGCGCGUUUGCGUGUAAGAGCCUUCGUGAACAAGAGUGAAAUGGCAAUAAUGUAAUUCCGUGCCGGUGAGCCAUUCAAUAUUCUGCUGCAUCAAUCACCACACCUUUACUUGUUGGAGGUACACCGUUCACAAUUUCAUUUCCGGCUCUCCGGGGUGAGUGUGACAUUCAUCUCCAGUGUUUGCGGACACCACCCAAGCUUAAUUUUCAACCGUAUUUUUAUCUUUCUUUGCAGCCAGUAGACACAUUACAUGACACAAGAUUACACCCCUUCACGGAGAAGCGCCGUCACGACGGCGGCGGGCGCGUACUGCUUGCGCUCUCCCGGAAUGGAUUUCCAACGCAGUCAUUUUAGCUCAAUUGCCCUUCGGCCUUGCGCAAAUAUCUCGGAGACAGACACAAUUUUCCACUCUUGUAAGUGGAGAGACUGACUGGACAAUCGCAAAGGGGGGGGGGGGGGCUGCAGAGCGAAACAAUCUGCACUGUCUUGUCUUCUUCUGCCGGUGGGUUUUCCCCAAGUGUGGUACUAAGUGAUGCACGAAAGAAUCAUUGAAUUAAAUGUUGACACUCUGCAGUUACGGUCACUAGAAUCCAUUUGCCUCAUUGCUUUCGAUACAAAAUUUAUUUAGGUAUAUAGAUCGAUUUCGGUGCAAUAGAUCUUGAUUGGCCAAGUCUGAUUAUCUUCAUUUUCUGUUUAGUAAAAUUCGACACCCUCCAAAAUACUUCUAAAUGAAUCCGGUCAUUGUCAUUGAUCAGAACAGGCUGGGGCAGUCGACUCGGUGAAGCAGCAUGUGGUUCAUAUACCCCCGAGAUGAUCGUGGCAGGCUCUGUUAAAAGUACAGCACAAAGUAUAACUGAAAGUCACGCCGUCGCUUUGUAAGGAGCUCGCCACCGCGAUUUUCUGGACCUUCCGAAAAGCAGAGUUGAUAUGUCUCUCGGUGGUUCCGCGAUGCAACGUCGAGCCUCCCCCAGCGGCAACGCGAGCCAGCUGUGUUUGUCAUCCUCCCCCCCCUCUGCUCGGGGCAGAUGGGAGCUCGCCGCCACUGGCUCGGCUACCGCAGUUCAAGCCCUGGAUGGCCUCAUUUUGGCGAUGACCCACUUCAAUGCCGCUCCCCGCCCAACCGGCAGCCAGGCCCGCGGGAUUAACGCAAAACGCUUGGGCCAGGGAUGCUGUUCUCCCUGCUCGACGGAUGCGGGAGGCGGUUUGGGGGGGGGGGGGGGGGGAUGGGGUUCGGCGGCGCUGGGGUUUAGCUGUUUGAAGGGAGGUAGAAAGGAAUGGGGGUGGUGAAGGUGGAGUUGCUAAUAGCAGCUAUCGUUUUGUGUUGCUUAACAAACAUCCCAACACAUUGAGUGUAUGCCUGUGUGUGUGUGUGCGUGCUUGUGUGUGUGUGUGUGUUUGUGUUGUGACUCAAGUGAGCAUCCAUGGAAUUGUGCACAUACAGUUGGCGAAGCAAUUUCGAGCAACAUAUGUCUUUUUGAGGCCCGGAACCCUAUUAACCCUUUGGGGCCCCUCCCCCACCAAAAUGAUCCCAAAACGCAUUAUUUGACGUCUGCCUUCAAAAUAAAUAUCUUGCAGAUGAUAUUCGAACGCAAAACAAUUAGCGAUACACACAAUAUAACAAUCCUCCCAGGCGUAUAUUCUUUAUCCUUUGCGGGGAAAAGUAUGGCACUGACUUCCUGUAUCUUCCUGCCCCCUGGUGGUCAAGUCACGCACACCAGAUGGAGCCACAAAAUCUGUCAUGAACUCACGAUGCAUGAUUUUUUUUUUUUUGUGGUUUGUUUAAUACAAAUGCUACGGGAAGUCCCUUGUACAAAUUAGCAUGCGCUAAGAGAAAAAUUGAGCUUUUUAAUCCAAGGUGUGUUUUCCGAAAAGCCUGUUUUUUGGGAUCGAGUACAAACCAGUGUGAGCUAACAUCCUACGACGUGUCGGCCUACAUGCAAGACCGCCUUUGGUUCUUUUGGGCGCCCGACGGACCUUCGCUGGGCAUGCGACGUCCGCACGAGGCUGUGGAUGACAGAGUGGGUCAGGGGCAGUCUAAUCUGUCUCCUUAAUCGGAUCGCGCUCUCUUUGAAUGAGUCUUAGCGCACGGGACAAUUAAAUGGGAGCAUCUGGAGGGGGCUGUAACCUUGCACACCAGGGCUAAUGCCGACAUGGCUUCCUUCCACCUGCCACUUCUUAAUUAUGUGGAGGCCGCUGGAUGUGUGUGUGUGUGUGUGUGUGUGUGGUUUAACCCUUUCAGGCACAGCGGUUACUGCAGUGGACAGCUUGUCAUGUUAGCAGGUUACAGGGUGCAUGAAAGGGUUAAGGUAUACAGUCCAGUCAAUCUCGUGUUUAUGAAAUAUUUUUAGUUGUUAGAAAAGGGUAAGCAGAGCUGCAUGGUACAUUAGCGCAUUAGCUCACGUGGUGUCUAUUAGCAUGGUUGAAUUGAAUUUUAUUUUUUUUGCGUUCAUGCUAAAGAAACCAGGAAUUAAUUUCUUUACCGUACCUACUUCAAUUUGAGUUGUCGACUUAUUUUUUAGCAUUCGUCACUUCAUAUAAGUGUGGCGCCAAGAGAAGUCGGGUAAAUCGCAUUUCGGAUUGCAACAGGAACGCAAACAAAAAGGCAAAAAUGGGAACUUCUCAGUGAUCUUUUUCAUCGGGGGAAUAAUGGAAAGGCUCCAUUUCCAAAAGUGUCAGUGUGCGGUGACGGAAUGUCAAUUGGCAGUGUGUAAUUAUCAUUACGUUGGCACAUUAUGUGCAUUUCGAACUUCCGCAAAUGGUUAUAAUUGAGGUUGCCGUGCGUAUCUUUGUUCGGGCUUGCACUCAGACGAACAUAAUAGCCGGGCGGCAACGAGUGGACGGCGGACAAUCUCCGCCUCGGCGAAACGACGGACCACACAUUGAUGAAAUUGAUUCUCGGGCCUCAAUGGCCAAGUCCAAUUAUUGUGUCUUUCGGUGUACAAGGGGGUGGGGGAAGGGUGGGGGGGGGGCUGGAAUCAGCAUUCUGUGAAGAAAGUAAAGAGAAAAGGGGAAAAAGACGAUUCAUCAGCGAAAAUGGUCUUCCAUUCGAGAAGGCGCAAUCUCCGUCCGUCCUUAUCGCUGUUUGCGUCGGAAUCCCGCCUCCUUUUUUUUUUUUUUCUUGCUUACUUCCUGAACUCGUCGUCCUUCGCUCCAUCUGAUUCUGCAUUUCGGGGCGUACUGUGGGAUCAGAUGGACGUAUAAAAUUAGCAUGAUAUUAGAAUAAUGAUGGCAGUCUGCAUUCUCCCGGCCGCCGUGUGUUGCUGCCGGCUGUGCUCUGUGCUUUAUUUCGUUAUUUUUUUGGAGUGGGGCGUGGGGGGCGUCCUUGUGUAUCUUGUUUCAUUAAUUCCGCUCUUGUCUGCACAUUUUCCGUUGAACUUGUGAACACAGUUUGAUGCGUAGGGAAGACGAUUUGAAAAGGAGACAUAAUAUGCAUGUUUGGGGGGGAGUGUGGGGGGGCUCACAAUUUGAAACGGUUCCCCGGUGUCUUCAUAACGUCUGUGACUUUGCUUUUAUCAAAACAAAGACCAAAAAAAAAACGGAGGAUCAAGAAUUACCCCGAAAAAGCAGUCUUUGAGGACCACGAAAGCAUUUUUUGAACACACCUAACGUUAUUGCAGCUCUGCUUACCUUGGCCUCGUCUUUUGUCUUUGCGGCUCGAAAGUGGCCGUUUUGCUCAGGACAAGUCGGGUGUCAAGUCAUUGGCGAGAAAAACAAAAAAAGUUCCAGGGCCCAUGGAAGGGUUAAAUAUCAAUCCAGACCGCGGAUAGCACCAAUCUCACGCAAAAUCGAGUGACAAUCCCUACGUGAACCUGGCAAAUGUCCUCAGAUGACUUUAAAUAUCCAUCCGGACCGCGUAUGUUCGCAUCUGCACCAGCAGUUGCGCCUGACAGCGCCCCUCUGCUAUGCUUCGGUCGGGUCGGCAGCUGUUGCCAUGGCAAUCGCGGCGCCUUCCACGCAGCAUAUAUGAAAACAUAGUCGGCCGAGGGGGGCGGGGUUUGGGAUAAUUUCAAGGUCAUCCCCAAGCGCCUUAGCUAUUUCCUCUUUGCAGGCUGUCAUAAUUUGCGUUUUUAUGAUUAUUCACCACACUUGUCUCUUAAUAUUGACAGAAAAAAACACCCUCCCCAUCCCCAUUCUUCUCUCUCCCCGCCCCCUCUUUCACACUUCUCCUCCUGUGUUCACUUAACUUUUUCUCCCAAGGUUUGGCCUCAAAGCACACACACACACACACACACACACCAUGCAUUUAAUUAACACCGCCAAUAACCCAGUUACCUUGCCUCCAUCUGUACAAAUCCUCUAAGGGUGUGCAAAGAGAGAGCGAGAGACGGAGGAGGGCCCGUGUGUGUAUAUGUGUGUGCGAUGUUUCGUCUCUUGCACCUUUAUUGGGUCGUGCCAUUUUCAUUUAUCACCCAUGGUUGACGCAAAAAAACAAAACAUAACAAACCAAAAACAAAAAAAUGCAAAACCACAUCGUCGCAGAGUUGUAAAGUUGACUUGGUGACUCGUCGAUUAAUCGUAAAAAGGGUUUCCAUAAGAAUGACUGUCCAACAUCCGCCAGCGUCAAGACGCAACACAGGAAGUGGCCAACGUCAUAUUCGGCCCGAGGCCCAAUGCCAAAUGAGACUUGAGUUAUUGAUCCCCAUUUGGGAGACCGAGGCCCAAAACGGAGCCACCAAGCUGCACUCUGGAGUGUGACGUCAGAGAAGGCUGCAGCUGCUCUUUUGUGCACUCGGCGCUCUCAUUUUCUGCACUCCAUCCUGAUUGAAAUUCCCAUCCGCGCCCGUCGCGUGCAGUGAGCGGCCGACAAAAAAAAAAAAAAAAAGACAA